GACCUGCGGAGGGAUCAUUACACAACAAAAUAUGAAGGCCUGGCUUCGCGGCCGGCUGAAAUAUUUUUUUCACCCAUGUCUUUUGCGCACUUGUUGUUUCCUGGGCGGGUUCGCCCGCCACCAGGACCAAACCAUAAACCUUUUUUUUAUGCAGUUGCAAUCAGCGUCAGUAAAAACAAUGUAAUUAUUACAACUUUCAACAACGGAUCUCUUGGUUCUGGCAUCGAUGAAGAACGCAGCGAAAUGCGAUACGUAGUGUGAAUUGCAGAAUUCAGUGAAUCAUCGAAUCUUUGAACGCACAUUGCGCCCUUUGGUAUUCCAAAGGGCAUGCCUGUUCGAGCGUCAUUUGUACCUUCAAGCUUUGCUUGGUGUUGGGCGUUUUUUGUCUCCCUCUUUCUGGGAGACUCGCCUUAAAACGAUUGGCAGCCGGCCUACUGGUUUCGGAGCGCAGCACAUAUUUUGCGCUUUGUAUCAGGAGAAAAGGACGGUAAUCCAUCAAGACUCUACAUUUUUAACUUUGACCUCGGAUCAGUAGGAGGCCCCGCUGAACUUAAGCAUAUCAAA
rnacentral:rRNA from 1 species